rnacentral:rRNA from 1 species
AAUUAUUAAUCCUUUAUAAUUUUACUAUCAAAUCCACCUUCAUUAAACAUUUCAAAUUUAAAUCCAUUUAAAUAACUUUAUUGUAACCCAUUUCUACUUAAAUAUGUAGCUACACCUUGAUASUGAUAUAUUUUCUUUUUAAAAAUUCUGAAAAUUAACAUUCUUAUAAAAUAUU